GGAAACCAUACACUUGGAAUUGAACUGCAUUCCUGAGUCUGAACAUGUACCAUGGAAACCAGAGUUCUCCCUUGCUGUAUGAAGAUUAUACAUCUGUAUCUACACAACCCUCCCCGCUCCCCCUCCCUUUGAAAGUAGAAGUAGAGUAGAAGAAAACAAAAAAGAAAAAAGUGCUCCAAAGUCAAUCAUUUAAAGUGUUUAUGUUUGGAUCAGAAGAGAAUGAAACUAUUGAACAAAAUCAAGUGAACGAUUUAAAGUUAGCCAGCAUUUUAACAACCACUGUGUUGACAUCAUAGAGUCUAUAAAUAAAACAAUUACCAUGGAUGUUGC
rnacentral:lncRNA from 1 species